rnacentral:rRNA from 1 species
UACGUAGGGUGCGAGCGUUAAUCGGAAUUACUGGGCGUAAAGCGUGCGUAGGCGGUUCGUUAAGUCAGCUGUGAAAGCCCCGGGCUCAACCUGGGAAUUGCGGUUGAAACUGGCGAACUAGAAUCUGGCAGAGGGGGGUGGAAUUCCACGUGUAGCAGUGAAAUGCGUAGAGAUGUGGAGGAACACCGAUGGCGAAGGCAGCCCCCUGGGCUGAGAUUGACGCUCAGGCACGGAAAGCGUGGGGAGCAAACAGG